ACACUCCUGCGGGAGGCAGCAGUGGGGAAUUUUGGACAAUGGGCGAAAGCCUGAUCCAGCAAUGCCGCGUGAGUGAAGAAGGCCUUCGGGUUGUAAAGCUCUUUUGUCAGGGAAGAAACGGUGAAAGCUAAUAUCUUUUGCUAAUGACGGUACCUGAAGAAUAAGCACCGGCUAACUACGUGCCAGCAGCCGCGGUAAUACGUAGGGUGCAAGCGUUAAUCGGAAUUACUGGGCGUAAAGCGUGCGCAGGCGGUUUUGUAAGUCUGAUGUGAAAUCCCCGGGCUCAACCUGGGAAUUGCAUUGGAGACUGCAAGGCUAGAAUCUGGCAGAGGGGGGUAGAAUUCCACGUGUAGCAGUGAAAUGCGUAGAUAUGUGGAGGAACACCGAUGGCGAAGGCAGCCCCCUGGGUCAAGAUUGACGCUCAUGCACGAAAGCGUGGGGAGCAAACAGGAUUAAAAACCCCUGUAGUCCCAUG
rnacentral:rRNA from 1 species